CCUACGGGUGGCAGCAGUGAGGAAUAUUGGUCAAUGGGCGCGAGCCUGAACCAGCCAAGUCGCGUGAGGGAAGACGGUCCUAUGGAUUGUAAACCUCUUUUGUCGGGGAGCAAAAGACGCCACGCGUGGCGUUCCGAGUGUACCCGAAGAAAAAGCGUCGGCUAACUCGGUUCCAGCAGCCGCGGUGAUACGGAGGAUGCGAGCGUUAUCCGGAUUUAUUGGGUUGAACGGGAGCGCAGGCGGAAGAUCAAGUCAGCGGGAAAAUGAAGGGUCGAAACCUCUUCGAGCCGUUGAAACUGGUUUUCUUGAGUGAGCGAGAAGUAUGCGGAAUGCGUGGUGUAGCGGUGAAAUGCAUAGAUAUCACGCAGAACUCCGAUUGCGAAGGCAGCAUACCGGCGCUCAACUGACGCUCAUGCACGAAAGUGUGGGUAUCGAACAGGAUUAGAUACCCCUGUAGUC
rnacentral:rRNA from 1 species